CACCGCGGUUAUACGAGAGGCCCUAGUUGAUGGACACGGCGUAAAGGGUGGUUAAGGUUUAAAGUAAAUAAAGCCAAAAGACCUCUUGGCUGUCAUACGCCCCUGAGUGUCCGAAGCCCAAAUACGAAGGUAGCUUUAAUAUUAGCCCACCUGACCCCACGAAAGCUGAGAAA
rnacentral:rRNA from 1 species